rnacentral:lncRNA from 1 species
GAAAUAUUUUUUAGGACACAUAGUGAGAACACACACAUAUUUUAGAUCUCAGAAUUUGAAAUAUUAUUUAAAAACAACUGGUAACACAAUGUUUCUGUUUUACCAUUGCCUUUAGGCAACCAAAUUGCUACAUUUUAUUUUCUCUUAAACCCAGGAAAAGUCUCUGUGGUAGAGCAAUUUGAAUGAAAAGAAGAAUAAACAGGUGUCCAACAAUAAGAUUUCCAAGAUAGGAAGAAAGAGAGGGUUCAGAAAGAAGGAUAGGCAUGGAGAGAGUGAAGAUCACACAUUAAUCAAGAGACAAGAAAACUUGGGUUUAUAUCUUCUAAUAGGUGACUCAGUGGUUAACCUCUAACUCCAGUGGAUGUACAAAUGUAGACACUCCCACUCACGGUACCUGCAGGUAAGGUGAUAUGGGGUAGCCUGAGUGCAGUUCUAGGGAAAGGAUACCCACGUGCUG